rnacentral:rRNA from 1 species
CCUACGGGUGGCAGCAGUGGGGAAUUUUGGACAAUGGUCGCAAGCCUGAUCCAGCUAUUCCGCGUGUGGGAUGACGGCCCUCGGGUUGGAAACCACUUUAGUAGAGAACGCAAAGGAGCUAACGUAUCAAUAGCUCUGCUGACGUUACUCUAAGGAUAAGCACCGGCUCACUACGGACCAGCAGCCGCGGUAAUAGGGAGGGUGAUAGCGGUAAUCGGAAUUACUGGGCGUAAAGGGUGUGCAGGCGGCUGCGUAAGACAGAUGUGAAAUGCCCGGGCUUAACCUGGGAACCGCCGAUGGGACUGGUUGGCGAGAGUGGGUGAGAGGGAGGUGGAAUGCGAGGUGUAGCAGUGAAAUGCGUAGAUA